rnacentral:misc_RNA from 1 species
AGGGUGCAAGAGGCAUAGUAGUUAGGGGGAAAAAAGAUUGGGCACUACAAUGGUAAUUUUGCCGGAGUACCUGGAUCACGUGGAUACUUCCUUGGAGUGGGGUGAUCUUUUACACAUAUGAUGGCUGUACGCUGCCCAUAUGGGCUGUGUGAUUCCACUGAGCAAAGUUGAAAUAUAGAUGCGCCCAUCAGUUGGAUUGAUUUUUCUGCAUUUUGAACUUCCACUUGGGGAUCAUGGCCCUUCGCGGCUACAAACAACCCACCUACUCGAACUAGAGGAAGACAAUACUCCGCUAAAACUCUCAUUUCCGC